AGAUCUUUAAAAUAUACACUUAAAAUAUAUCCUUUACUAUAAGUAUUUUGCUCUCGUGCAAUAUACUUGAGUGUCACAUUAUGUAUGUAGAUGAUGUAAUAGAGUAUUUGUUGGCUGCCUAUGUUAAAACUUGUCUGGUGGAAGACACCGUGACAAUGCGUUUCAAGUUUAAUAAGGGUUUUUAAUGCAAGAUGGAUAACAUUCCUUAUCCUCGUUUUUCUUUCCGGAACAAGCUAGGGAUUUGGUUUUCACGGGAGCAAAUUCCUAGGAAACAAAUAGAAUCAAGGGAAAUCUUAUUGAAAUUAGGAGUUAAACUAGAAAUACAUGCAUGCAACACUCGCCUAUAUUUUCCAAACAUUGUUUCAACAUGAAGUAUUCGUAAUUACGCAGGCUCGCGUAAUUCCCACGUCAUGUUAGCCAUGCCAACACGAUAAUAAGGAUAAUUGUUUUUUUUUAAAUUUUUUGUACAAAACUGAAAAAAAUAAAAGAAACUUGAACACUUUUAAAUACAGAACUUUAUAUAUUCAAUUUCUGAAUAUAUUAAGUAGGUAUAUUAUUUUUGCUUUCUAUGGGCUUUAUUUUAAUGUAAAAUUCAACACGAAACUCUUCGUAAAACUUUUUAAAUGUGAAUUGAAAUUAACUGCUUUUUUGCCGAUAAACUCUUCAACUCGAGCUCCAACUUAUUACUCACACUUUGAAAUGAAAUAAAUUUAAUUCAUACAGAACGCUCAUGAAAAUAAUUUGCUUUCUUUUUUAUCAUGAACUUCUACAAAAGUUAAUUUAACUAAGAAACUUUCGCAUACAAUGCAUAUGAAAGACUUGAACAACAAAAACAAAGUCCAUAAUAAUACAAAGUCAUACAUAAACAUUUGAAACAAACUUGCCUUAUACUUUAAGAUUUUUCAUACUAAAUCAAUUCUUAAUGUUUACGUUUAAAAAUUGAAAAAAAGUUUUACAAUUUGUUAUGCGAAAUGAUUUUGGAAGCUUUCUUACAUGUUUAUUUAUAUUUUUGCCUCCUUCACUCCUGGCAAACAGCCAUAUUUUGAGAUCAGUGAGAUGACCACCCAUACACCAUGCGCCCGCGAUAUCUGAUGAACUUUAGACUUGCUAGUGCGUUCCUUUCCCCGGGUGUAAAUAGCCGGGCGGAAUUAUUACCCUCGCCCCGGGCUUACGCCUGGAACCGCGCUCGGCGCCGUUGGUUCGGAGAAUUAUCCAUAUAUUUGAUUCACGAGUGCACUUAUUGGCGAAUAUUACAACAACGCUGCCUCGCGCGUUGUUCUAAUUCAAAAUUUCUUAGAUUCACUGUUUCU